UACGUAGGGAGCAAGCGUUGUCCGGAAUCAUUGGGCGUAAAGCGCGCGUAGGUGGCCUCAUAAGUCCGCUGUGAAAGUCGAAGGCUCAACCUUUGAAAGCCGGUGGAUACUGUGAGGCUAGAGUACGGAAGAGGCGAGUGGAAUUCCUGGUGUAGCGGUGGAAUGCGCAGAUAUCAGGAGGAACACCGAUGGCGAAGGCAGGUCUCUGGGCCGAUACUGACGCUGAGAAGCGAAAGCAUGGGGAGCGAACAGG
rnacentral:rRNA from 1 species